rnacentral:lncRNA from 1 species
GACAGCCCAAAAUUGACCCUAGUCGGGAAGUGGUUUCGGGACUGCUAAACCGAGUCAUAAAAAUAAUUAGCUGUCAUAUUUGAUGCUUAUUAUAUGUAUAUAUGCAUGUGUGAAAAUUUCAUAUUUGAAUUUUGUUUAAUUGUAGGUGAAUUUUAGUAAAUAGGACUUAUGUGAGAAAAUUUUGAAAUGUGGUAGGUCAAAGCAUAAGGAUCUAUUAGUGCAUGAAAUAAAAAGGGGGACUUGCAUGUCAAUUUCCCCCCCUAAUUAGUAGUGGCCGGCCAUGACAAGUAU